rnacentral:lncRNA from 1 species
UUUUAUAUAUAAAAUGCAUUGAUAUUCUUUGUUUUAUGUUUUGAAGGCACUUUUGGAUGAAAGAUGCAAAAAGGAGUAAAUUGGAGGUAAUUGGCAGAUUUGACGUUCAGUCGAUGUUUUGUGCAGAGCGUGAGUUCUAGAGAUCAAAAUGAAGUGAUUCUAGUGGCACUAAAACGCUAACAUCCAUACCUUUCUGGAAAUGUAAUGCAAGAAAAAUAAAAAGAGAAAGAUCAUGGAAAUCACAUCCUGCAAAGUCAAAUCUCGCAUUCUGCCAGUGUUGACCUUUGGCCAUUCAAAAUUUAAUAUCUGGAGCUACAGAAGUCCAAUUGAUGCAAACUCAAUUGUAUUAGAUUCCUGACUUAAAGACCUAUCAACGCUCCAAAUUUCAGCCAAAACCAAUGUCAUAUGAGGGAGAUAUGAUUUUUCAAAGAUGACAACUGAAUUCUGCCAGCAAACAGGUUUCGUGAAGAAACAAGUCCAAACUACAUUCCGAAGCAUCUAAACCGACAUCCAAGUUUUUAUAUCAGCAAUUUAGCUCCUCCAAGUCAGAGCUUGAAGAUUUCAUGCAAGACUAUUUCUCCUUUUAGGAAAAAUAGUUAUUGAAGUACUUAAAUGUAAACUGUCAACUCAAGGAAGGACUAUUUUGUAAAAUAGAGACUAGGGUUUCUUAGCAUAUAAAAAGAAAGAGAGAAGGAGGCAGCAGCCAGCAGAAAAGAGGGAGAGCAGAAGGAGGCAGCAGCCAGCAGAGAAUAAACACAAAUUCUCUCCUCUACAAACCCAAAAAUCAUGCUCUUUUCAUUCUUUAGAAGUAGUUGUUCAAUAGUUAUGCAAGGCUAAGCUCUUUUCUUGGUUGCAAGGACAC